GGGUUCCUCCUUCUUCAGCGUCUUUUUUUUUUUUUUUUUUCCGCCGUAAAUUUGGCAGGUUGUUGACAAAGCUGUUUGAGUUAAAUCACAUAAGCCCCAAUGAGCCCUCCGGCCGAGGACGGGCUUCGCGGCCCCUUUGUACUUCAGAGUGCUUUCACCGCUCUGCAGUCCCCAGCCAGGGUUUUUUUAUAGCACCUCUCUCUCAUCUCCCCCAUCUCCCCGCACCCCGCAUCCAGCUCCGCGCUGGUCCCUCGGCGGGGGGCUGCGGGGGAAGGGGGGGGGGGGCGCGUUAUCAAAGCGGCGCUGGGAAACCCAAACGGGCUGCGAGAGCAGCUCCGCUAUCAAUAAAGGCGUUCCCUCCUUCAAAGCCAUCCCGGCGCAAAAUAAAAUCCCUUCUGGAGCCCAGCGGGGAAGGCACAUCUCGGCCGGUCCCCCCCGGCGCUGCACUGCCAGGUUCGCUGGUGCUGGAGCUUUUAGGUUAACUGGACAGUGUUCUGGUGUGCUUUACUGCUAACAUCCAAGAGUUUUCACGAGGAAAGAAGAAAAGAAAAAAGAAAAGAAAAAAAAAAGAAACAUUAAGUAAUGCAGUAGGAAGUGCAAUGAUACCACUGAAGGUCCGAACAGCAGAACCCUGGAAGAACAACACUGUGGGCUUUUAGGGAUGAAGGUCUGCUCUAGCGCUGCUAGCUCAGCAAUUCUCUAUAAGACAGAAAAAGAUUAUUUCUGGCAUUUCAGAUGUGUUUCUGCCAUUCUUUUCUGCAGAGUAAUGCAUUUUAACAAAGGACUAGUCACAUUGGAAUACUGUAUGCAUGUGUUCAUUUUAACGUGCAGUGCUGCUGUGUGAUUUAUAUCUUUACACCUUGGCCAAUGGCAAGUAUCCAGUCAGAGGCUGAUAGGCACAUUUUUCCAUCACAAAGAACCCAUUUGGGAAGCAGAGCUUUCUAGGGAAGAAGCUCGCAUGACUGCUGAAGAAACUUUGACAAGUUAAAAGACUAGAAGACAAAAGAAACAGUUUGGAUGUCUUCCCCCAUCCCCUGCCACUGCCCCAAAUUCACGAUGUUGAAAGAAGCCAGGACAUUUAGGAACAGCAGUAACCACUAAGGAGGAAGAAACACAGAGUCUAGCCCAGCAUUUGUCUUUACCAGAUGGAGACCUAUGUUACAUACAGUGAGAUGCAAAUAAGAGGCAGCAGGCAACAAAGGAAAACGUAGAGGGUAACAAAGUCACACAGAGUCUCAAAGUCACACGGUAUUUACACCGAUCUACAAACCUGCAAAGUCUGUGGAAAGACAUACACCAUUUUAUAUGUGAAUUAAUGAUAACUAUACCAAUUUGUUAUUACUACUAAUGAACUACAUAACAAAUACACCCUCAAGACACUCAGCAUUUGUUUGCAUUAUCACCUGGAGAAAGACAGUUGCGGACUCAUUUUUGUUUUUUAAUGUGCAAAAUGGGUGAGUUCUUUUCAUUCCCUCCUCUCCUGAGGGCUGCUGAACCUUGCUGCCAGUGCUGAAACUGCUGUGCAGGUACAAUGUGUGGGUGAGUUUGGUCAUGGAGGAAAAUAAAGGUACAAGAGAAUCUUCAUGAAGAUGAGAACUGACUCCAAAAGCUGUUGAAGUGGGAUGUCAGGUGGAUGCUGCAUCUAGGGGGGCACAGGGAGCCACUGAGGUGAGGUCAGGCCUUGUGGCAGAUGACCAAAAAACACCCUAACAAUCUACACUUCGUUGCCCCUCAGUGUCGACUGUUGCUGUUCAUGGGGAACUGGUGCUGUGGGCAGCUGCAUAACCCAGCCCUGGCUUGGGCACACCAAACUAACGGUGCAGGUGCUGACACCAAUGCAGGUGUCCAAAGGAGGUGUUCAAGGUGGCCAUGACACCUCUACAGCUGACAGGACAUGGGAAAGCUGCCUAGGCCUUGGUUUUCUGUAUUAAUAUAGACCACAAAACAGAAGCUUCUGGCGUUUUUCUCUAGAAUUUGUUGUUGAAGGUAAUCAUCAAAGAGCUAACUUGUGCGCCAGGAGCAUUUGUGGCCUUCUCCAUCCUGCCUCUCUUCCGACAGGCAUCCUUCUCCUCGCACCUUGUGCUUUGGCUCACAAGCCAUGGCUCUUUAUCUCAGUGACACCCCUCCUGUCCGCAUCUCGGCCAUGCCCCUCCUGCCACCAUAUGUCAUUGGAAUGUUUCAAGUAGCGAGUCUGGUUUACUUAAAGAAUAGUGCUUUUACAGGAAUAAUACUUUGCUUUGUUUCCAUUAGGACCUUAAAAAAAACGUUUAUGGGAGGAAAAAUAAACAAUCCCACCACCACUCCUUAACAACAGAGUACUUUCCCUCUCCUAAUGCUACCAGUGCCUUCUUUCAAUGAGGCCGAAGGCACCUCCCACAAACUCUGGAGGGCUCUUACAGGUUUCUUCUGAGUGGCCUGAACCUUCCUCUCCCCAGUACACACACAAAGGCACACACAGGGUUCAUUUUCCAGAGAUGAUCAGGCAAGGAGCUUUGUUGUGCUGACCACAGACCAGCACAGUCUCCUGGCUGUUCCUUAGAGAGCUGCAAAGUAGCCGACGAAUCCAAGCAAGGCGAUAGCCACAGAGGGUCCGCACAGGAGACAACAGGGAAAAGACAGGACAAGGCCCUUUUCCACAAUAUACCUGCAUCACCCGCCUGGCACAGAGCUGCUCUUGCACUCGGGUCUCUGCCUUGGGGCUUCAGGUUCCCAGCUGCAGCAGCAGUGAGGUGGCUGAAGCAGCCCAGCACUGGCUGUAGGGCUGAGGGAGCACCCUGGGGUGUCCCUGCGCUGCACCAGCCGGCCGCAUGCUCCAGUUACAUGGCUAACGCACCCUGGAAGGCCUGAGCUGUGGUCUGGGGCCACAUCCACCAUGCCUCUUGGGCCACGCAGGAUUGUACUCCUACCUUAGCGAAGUUUUGAAUCCCAUGUUCGGCCUAGCGGGUUUUCCUGGUGCUGCUGCGAUUUCUGGGCCAGGCUCACAACCCACAGGUAGCUAGGGCUCCCAGGAGAUUUUACUGGUGGCAAAUCAGCAAACCAUGAGCAAGCAGACCAUGAAUUUACAUGCAGGGAGGGGAAGAGAGGAAAGGACACCACAGAGAACCCAUGAGCACGAACCAGUGUGACAGCCACUCCUGACAUGGUCACAGCCGUGUGGCUGCCUGGGGCUGCGGCCGCUCCUGAAAUACUUACCCCGUGAAGGAUUAGCAGAGCAGGCCCGAGUUUAUAAUUGCAGCAAUAUUAGAUCCCCAAAGUCUACAUAGCUCAAGGAAGAAUGUAGGUGGAUGCUGUCUGGUGCUGUGACCUGAAAUAUCUCUAAGCUUUUUUUUUAAAUAUGUGCACACAUACGUAUCAUCAGUAAGGUGUGUUUAAGAGGUUAGUGCUUAUAUGACACUUAUCUUAAAGACUGCUUUAGAUAAUUCAUCAUUUCCUUAGAACUAAAGAUAUGUCAUAACAGCUAAGCCAAUGUCUAUUUGUCUGUGACUGCUCAAAGGCAAUACAAUUCUUAGCACAGCUAUCAAUCUAUGCACCCUGAGCAACGUAUCCAAUAAAUGUAACCCUAUCUUUCAAGCUCCAUAACAGUCUGUGAACUGACCUUGUUUCUUACCAGUUUAUUUGUAAUAUAGCAUUGUGUGGCAGCUCAUUUUAUUAAGACACUUAAGGUCUAGAUCAUGACUUGCUGCCUUGGUGGUACUAUUGCCUCUAUAUUUUCAUGGAAUGAUUAAGGUCCCAUUUCAGCCCUACAUUAUUUUCCUCGAUCUAAAUGAAAAUUGUGAAAACUUUUGAAAACAGCACUGAUGGUGUGAAUGUUUGACCACAGUGGAUAACACAAGGCUAAACUGAUAGUACAGCCAUGGGACCAGGCUGAGCAGUGUGUCAGUCAUCUAUUCAUGGAAUAGAUAUAGUGGCUGUGUGUGUACACUUGGCACUUAAUGGCAAGUGCUUCCCCUGUUAAAAUCACUAACCCAGGCUUAAAACACUGGAAAUUCAUUUUCCAUGGGCUGCCUCUCAUUCUCUUCUGCUGUUUAAGAGCCUGAAGACUGUCACUUUUUUCAGGACCAAAAAAAAAAAAGUGCUCAAGGUAUAGUCGUGAAAGAAGCAAGGGCCAUUAUGGUUGAAAGCAUGUUGUGGUUGCAGGCUGGACCUGCCAAUGAAGUGGAUGAGGGCUGCUGGGGUUUGGUAUAAAAGUCCAUACAGUGUGUAUGUGUGCCUCUUGUUCUCUUUCUUCUUUCAAAGGCAGAGAAAGACAACCCAAGCAGCUUAUCGUGCUACUGCAGCUCAUAAACUCACGGCGAUGUUCUUCUAUUCUUUAUAAUGUUACAGAACACUGGAAGCCUUUUUGUCAAGUAGCAGUAUUUUUGCUUCUGGGAGAGCAUGACAUGUACUCAUUAGUACCCAGUGUGUUUCUUUGAAUAGCUGUAGUAAUUGCCCAGUCCUACCUCAUUGGCAUCUGUCCUGGUCACAGCAUUUCUUCCAUCCAAGCAGUCAGUAUUAACCUAUAAUUCAAAGCAUAGUGGUGACUUCAUGAUAUCACUUUUAACAAAGCAGCCAAGCAAAGGAACAACAACAGAAGGAGCCACUUAAUUGCUCAGUAAUAGUCAUCACACUUUAGUUUAUCUAAUUGUCUUUAUUAUGGGUUGCCAAUUUAGCAACUUUCCUUUAUUUAAGCAGCUGAUUUGCUAAUAUUUUCAUAAAUCACUUCCUUCUAGAAUAUGAGUCACAGAAUAGUUUAACAAGAGCAGAGGUGGAGGUACCGACCUACAGCUUGUAGUGAACUCCACAGGAAAACAGAAUCUCAUUCUUUUCUGCAAGGCUUUACGCAGAAUAUUUGUUGUGUUUUCUUGAUCAGCUACAUGUAUUUCUAUGGAAAGAUAGAAAUGAAAUGCCAGAGGCUAACACUCUACCUGUUUUUCAAGCAAAAGUGCAUUUCCGUGCAUUUCCAUCAACUCUAUUUAUUUAUUUAUUUAUUUAUGUGACAGCACUAGCGUGAGAGCUACAUUAUCAUGAGUUGGAUAUCAUGAGGACAUCAUAAGGAUAUUUUCUAUUUAUUUCCAUAGAAGCUGGUAGCAUUUCUUCCCUAUUCUGCAACACCAAUUUGUGUUCCUUAGGAAAAUAUUCCCAAGUUUUUCAGCAUUUUGUUGUACCUCUCCUCUUUAUCAAAAAAGUGCUUUAGUCCCAACAUGAUUCUCUAGGUAUGAAAAAGGUGUAUAGAAACACAUUUUAAAAAACACUUAAAUGUGUGACAGAGCAGGGCUUUGUGCCACUAAGUCGACAGGGUGAUCUCUUCAAAAUAUCGGACUUCAUGCUUGCCAUUUGUACUGGAAUGAAUAUUGACAGUCUUGUCCCCGAGACUAGAAUAGUUUUGGGGAGAGCAUUCCUUGUCUGAAAUACAACUUGAGCAGCAUUUUAUUAUACUGUGACCCUGUGAGUAUACAAUCAGGAGGGCCUCCUGGGGUUUAUUUCAGCUGAUUAUGGAACACAGAGCAGAAUAUA